GAUGCUUGCCGGCUCUCUGCUUGCAACCUCUCGCUGCUGCGAUCAUGCAUCUGCCUUACUGCAGUAAAAAGGAAAUAAAGAAAAUGUGUGUCUUUCUCUCGCUUACGCACGUGGACUGGCUCUCGAGACAGGGUGACGGAGACAGAAGCAGGGCUGGAGGGACGCUGCUAAGAGAGGUGCAAUCGUCGCAAAGAUGUUUUUCUUAGACGCUCCAACAGACAGGAAUCUACUGGCAAGAAGAAAGCCCUGGUCUUCCCCACGAGAGGGAGAGUACAAAGCCCCCCAGUCUGUACACAGCAGAUGCGGGAAAGCUAGUCCAUCUGCCACCAGCUUGCCGAGCCACAUGGGCCUGAGAGCUUUAAUGCAGACCUUUCUUUAUCUCAAAAGGUGUUUAUUCCCUCCAGGAGUCCUCUUCUGGGGGUUUCUGCUACCAAGGUCAAGUGAUACAAGCAGACCCACCAGCGCCUUGGUGAGCUGGCAGCAGAAAAACGGGGGCGAGAGACAGACAGACAUGUGGAGUGGGUACAGUGAGGAGGGGUUAGCGGUGGUGGCAGCAGGUUACCAACCUUGACAUAAGCAACAGUAGCAGGGCAGUAGCGUCAUGACAACGACAGCAGAAGAUUUUCACUUCCAUUUCAUAUUAAUGCAGUGAUUUCAACAAUUUGCCCACACAGCUACUGCUAAUUCUAAUACCAUUCAUUUUCAAUUAAAGCUACAAAGUCAAUUGCUUUGGGGUAAUUAGAUACAGACAAGCAGAGCAAGGUUCCCCAUCACUUCAGUACACAAGAUGAGAAAAAUGCAUAGAAAAAUAGUUUAAGAUUUACAGUAAUUGCUAAACAUUUAAUUGAUUGAUCUUCAGGUACCAAGAGCAUCAUGGAUAUGAAGAGAUGCACCUACAAAUUUAAUGGCGACUGGGGUUGCCCCAUUUUUAGCUUGAUUAGCCUUGACCAGUGGUUAGCUGAUUGGAAACUCAAAAAAAUCAAAUAUUUUAUUUUGUUUAGUGAAUGUACCAUACUAUGCUACUAAGUUGUAAUUACAACACUGUUCAAUGUGAACGCUGUUACUGGGUGAAGGGGACUCAAAUUUAGCCAUUUUCAGAAUCAGUAAGGUGUUUGAAAAUUAAGUCAGAUAUAACACAGAAGCUGUCAUAUAUUUAAGAGGAAACAAUUUUCCAGUCAGUGUCCAGAUGUGUCUGGCAUUCAUUCAGGCUGCUCCAAGUUGCAACAGCCCAACCUUUUUGCUGUCUGUCAUAGAUCAUUCUGGUUUUGGAAAUCUUCUCAGGGUUUUAGAAAUUAAAGAGUCAGAGUUAAAGUAAGAGUCUGUAUUCUGUAGGAAUACAUGCUGAAACUGACAGUGAGUUCUUUCUCACUUACAUGGUGUGACAUCACCUCUGCUCCUUGAAUAAAUAAUUAAUCAGUAAAAUCAGUAUUGGGGGUAAAGCUUCACAAAUACUGGAGAUCUGAAUUUGGCCACAAUAUUCACUGCAUCUCUAGUAGUGUUUAGCUUCCCCUGGUUCUUAUUAUUUUGACCUCAUUUCUCACAUUAAUGCUGCUCUAAUUAUAUUGUCACCUCACAAGAGGGAAAAACCAGUGUUUCAAAAAACCAAGAAAUCCACAUGUAUGAACUAAAGCACACCCCUAUUCAUUAUUUCUCAAUCAAAUGUUUCACAAGCACAACUCGUGAUCCAGAAAGUCCAGCCCACAAAUACUACUACUACUACUAAUAUUAAUAAUACGCCACAUAAGGCCUUUUAAAGGGCUCUUUUAACGUCAUGGGUAAUGUUGAUCACACAAUAUGUUGCUUAUGGCCACAAAGCCGAGGCCAUUACAGACCGGUGAUUAUAUAAGUGCUUGGAAGGCAGAACCAUUUUAAUAUACUGAACUUAAGCACCAGGGUAUCCAUGGCAACUUGCACUUUCACCGUGCAUUCAGAACUCCCUAAUGAAAUGUCUAUUAAGGGGAUGAUAAUGACAGUGUCCAAAUAUAUUUGCAUAUGUGUUUCAGUGGGAAAAGAGAGCACAUAAUGAAGGUAGAUGGGUCCCUGAUCACUGCAAUGAUGAUUAUGUAUAUUUUGUGGGAUUUUUUUUUUAUGUUUUCACUGUGGAAGUAAUAAAAACCCUGACCAUCUCUGCUAA